UAGGGAAUCUUCGGCAAUGGACGAAAGUCUGACCGAGCAACGCCGCGCGAGUGAAGAAGGUUUUCGGAUCGUAAAACUCUGUUGUUUGAGAAGAACAAGGACGUUAGUAACUGAACGUCCCCUGACGGUAUCUAACCAGAAAGCCACGGCUAACUACGUGCCAGCAGCCGCGGUAAUACGUAGGUGGCAAGCGUUGUCCGGAUUUUUUGGGCGUAAAGCGAGCGCAGGCGGUUUCUUAAGUCUGAUGUGAAAGCCCCCGGCUCAACCGGGGAGGGUCAUUGGAAACUGGGGGACUUGAGUGCAGAAGAGGAGAGUGGAAUUCCAUGUGUAGCGGAGAAAUGCGUAGAUAUAUGGAGAAACACCAGGGGCGAGGGCGGCUCUCUGGUCUGUAACUGACGCUGAGGCGCGAAAGCGUGGGGAGCAAACAGG
rnacentral:rRNA from 1 species